AAAGACAGCCGUGAAAGGAACAGCCUGUAAAUAUAGCAGACAUGGGAAGAAACAAUUGGAAGGGAAAAUCUGUGACACCACGGUACUUAUAAAGUCAUAAGAAGUACCCAGAAUGCUACUCACAGCUAUGAAAAAUUCAUAACUUUCUGUCAUAAGGACUGGGUUUUUCGUAACCUGUGUCAUCAUAGCUAUGAGUGAAUUGGUUACAGCUGACUUCGCUACUUGCUAGAAAUAGCAGACAUGCACAUGAAAUAUACAUUAAUUGAUAGAAAAAAGGAUUAAAAGGUAAAAUUAUAUAUUACAUAGCUUUUUAUGUAACAAUUACGCUGUAUCUCUUUUAAAUAAAGAAAAUUAUUGCUUAAAACAAGAUAUGCCGCCAGAGGGCAGCCUCAAACGUAAACAAUAACAAUAAACAAGCAGUCGUCACUCCAGCGCCACGUUUGUAUCACCUCGGUCCACACAACCACCACCAAUAACAACAACAUGGACACAACCGGCCCUGCUGCAGUCACCCUAAGACAGGAAAACCUAAUUGGUCUGUAGAUACUGCCAUGCUUUGUGUUCAGUUGUUAGAAAAUAAAAUAAACAUGAGUGCAGAAGAGGGCUGCUGUUGGAGACCUGAUUUUCUUGCAUCUGGUGUGGCCUGCUGAUCAGGUCAGAUGUAGGAAAGGGGGACCAGGCUAUUAUGGUGCAGUGGUAAACCAGUUUUGCUGCCAAGUCUGAUGCAGAGAGAAUCUGCCGUGUGACUGACCCUCCUGCAGGAGUGUGACAUCUUGGAGUGAGAAUCUUUGUCAGUAUUCCAGAAGCAGCACCACCACUAAUUCACCCCCACUAGUUCAAGCCAUGAGCUGCCACUGCUGCCACCAUACUGGCACCUCUCUCACCAGCCACACCUGGACACAUCAACAUCAUCUGCUCCUCCUGUUUGCCAUGCACACACUCAGUGACAUAAUCAGCUGAAUUGCUCCACCUGCCACUCUGCUCCUGUUCAGGUAUUCCAGUUCCUGGUAUCACCAUUCAUCACAGUGAUCAAGGCUUGGAUCUGCUUGUGCAACCUUUGUUAAAUUUAUUGUACCUCAGUCUAUACUAGCCAUACUGGCAGGUCAAGCCUUGCACCAACACAUUGCAUAAUACAAUAUAUAAAAAAUUCGUAUGAUUAACCUCAAAGCUACUAUCAGAACUUACCUCUUCUGGAAGAGAAGAGAUUGUGGCAGCCAAGGUGUCUGAGGCUCCCACAGUCUCUGGGAGAUAAAGCGUGCGGGACAGUAAGAGCAGUGAUGGUGGCACCUUUUCUUGCAGGCUCAACUCCAGCCACUGAGUUAGUUGCAGGCGGAGUCGCUCUUCUGACAGACCAUAAGCUCUCAUGCCUCUGGCACGACAUGCUUGCUGAAGUUCCCAUACUGCUAAGGAAUCCAGUCCUUCUCUUUCAAUGAUCUGUCAACAGGUACAUCUUGGUGGUAAACAUCUCUUGAGAUAAAAUGCCUCAAGCUUUGUACUUUAAGUAUGUGAUCCUGAGUUUUCUUCUCCAUAUUUUACAUACAAAUUUAUCAAUAACUCUAAGCAGCUUUCGAUUCUAUGUGAAUGGCUAAAUGCACUGAACAAAAGGGCAUCAUAAGCAAUUCAAAACUGAUUUCAGACAGUGAAAAGCAAGAUGGUAUUACAAGUAACAAAUAGAUGAAAUGAAAUCAUGUACAAAUGUUUACAAACCAUCACUUCAAUUAAAAACCUGGUAAGACAAGAUUGCUUUUUUUUUUUUUUUUGUCAAAUGUAUGAAGAUCUUGAAACAUUACCUUAUCAUCAGCUGCUAGUGAUCUCAACUUCAGCCUUAGUUGAAACCUUAGGAAGUUAUUGGUGCCAAAGGGUUGCAUCUCCAGUAGACGGCAGAGAGCAACCAGUUGUGGUCUUGUCAUGGAGUCCAGUGUAAUUUCAUCUUCAAACAACUUACUGAACUUCAAAAUUUCCUCAUUGCUAGCUUGUUCUCCAGAUUUAGUGAUCUGCAGAGAAACCCUUACUUAUAUGACUUGUCACUUUUCCACACACACACACACACACACACACACACACACACACACACACACACACACACACACACACACACACACACACACACACACACACACACACACACACACACACACACACACACUUCCACAGCUUUUCUCCUUGAGAAUGCUCACUCUCACCAUCAACUAACCUUUUCAAAGAAGGAAACAAACUCCUUGGCACUUUCUGAGCUGCGACCUUUUGCCUCAACCGCCAUGCUGUCCAACGUCUGCUGUAGGAAUUUUGCCAUCUCCAGUUUCAUCUUUAAUUUCUUUUUCAUUUUUGCUUCCUAAAGACAGAAUCAAAAUGUAAAAACACUAUUAAUAAGGUCACUGUAUUUGCUGGCAUAUAAGAAUCACAGCUGCAUAAGGCACAUUCCUAUUUACUAUUUUUUUUUUUUUUUUUUUUUUGAGAUUACAAAAAAUUGCUAUUUUGGAGAAGACACUGUUUUGUUGUUUACUGGAUGUCUUUCUGCCAUGGGGUUCAAACACUGAAAAAAUUAUACUGUUUGAAAUGUGAGGGAAACACUGCUAGGUAACCUGACUCAGUCAUGUUUUGAUGCAGGAUGAGCUAUGAAUUGAGUUAAUAUAAGAAACUGGGACUAUUUUGUUGCCUAUGCCACUUAGCUAGAUAUGCAUAGUGAAAGGUAUGCAUUUGUUACUCUUCCACCAAGUGUCUGAACUUUGUUUUACAUUUGCAGUGAAAAUAUUAAGGCAAUACUUUAAGCAAACAACUCUGUUAAGUAGUUACAACAGCUGUGUGAGUGUGUGGUCUGUUUAUAUUUUUCUUUAUUAUGGUGCUGACAGAAUACAAAAUAAAUUUUUUUUUUCCA